GUUGAAGAUCACCUGUUUCACCCUGUGGAUGGACAGAUGCUCACGUCCUGGGGGUGAAAAGGAAGCCUCCAUUUGCACGCUGAACUGAUGAACUGUUCAGCCACUCCCUCUGCUGCUGUAAAGGACCAGGGGAAACUGCCUUCCCCUGCCCUCGUGCACACUGCUGGAGCAGGAUUCCAGAAUGCGACCUGCUUGAGCCGGUCCCAUGCAAGACCGGACACUGCAUCAGACCCAACACUGGCGGUAUUACAGGAUAAUGCAUUAAAUCUGUCAUUAAAGGGGGGGACACCCCACACAACCCCCCCACAGGCUAAGGGAUCUGAGCUCUGUGCGGCAUCUCAUCUUAGUCGCAUCGAAUUGAUGCAUAAUGCCAUCACACCAGCCCCUGGAUUCAGAAGGGGCAGCUUAAAGCAGUUUGAUUUUCAGAGGCACUACGUAUCUACAGCCCCAAUUAACUUCAAGGAGAUCUGGCUCAUGAAGGAGUUUGCAGCAGUACUCAACAGGCCAACGAUUUACCCUUCCCACGAAGCAUCAGGUCUGACGCUCCCCUUCCCUCGCUCCCGCCCCCCAAGGGAGCUAAGGGGAGCAGAAACAGAUGGAAGGAAAGGCCUGCCAUUGCGUGCAGUUUGGUGCCCUGGAUUUACUUACUCGAGGAGGGGAAUCAAGGCUGAGCUGCAAACCAGCAGAUAUCACGGUAUCAAAUGGUUUAUGAUAUCAUUUGCCAGCGCCUCUUUCUGCUACCAAGUCUUCAAAUGUCAAAGUCAGUCAGGAGCGGGGAUGCAGGUGAUGAGAACAGCUCUGCAACAACAGAGAUCCACGUGCUCCCGUGAAGACUUACACGCAGUUAAAUUAUCGCUUCAAGGCCUGCCUUAAACCCAUCAGAGCCAAGACUGAGACUUCAUCCUUAACUCACCUCCUUGGCAUCAAUGCAUCAAGAGAUGGGGAAGGCCAAUUAAACCCUGUUGACUCGAACUCCCAACUUGGGCAGAAGAGGAAGGACUAAAUCGUUCCUUGGCCAGCAGGCUAAUGCACUGCUAUAUUGGAUCUCGCGCAGGACAGUGACCUACCAGCAGAGACCCGUGUCUGGUUUCAAAUCUACGGGCCCAGGAUGGUGUUGGCUGGACAGAGUAGUGGAACUGGAAGCUGGAGACCGCUGACCCGUCCUCCUUCCUGGUGGCCACCCAAUAGCUAGGAGAAAGAUGUAUGAGGCCUCUUCUGCUGAGAGAGGAGCUCUGGUUUCCACCACCUCAGUCCUGAAGAUGUGCAAGCAAAAACCUUCCCAACAACUAUUGUAUUUCCUUGUCUCUCUUCUCUUUGACAGAAUUGGACUCUGUCCUGAGAGCCACACCUCUAAAACUGUUCCUUUUUAAAUGAAUUAAGUCUCAUUUUUCAAAAGCAGCUUCUGAUCUCAGAUGCCUUCAUUUUGUCACCUGAAUUGCAGAGAUGCUGAACAAUCACAGCUCCCAGUGACUUCAGUCGCAGUUGUGGGUUCUCGUCACCUCCAGAAAUGAGGCCCAAGCGAUGUCUCAGAGAUAGCACCCAAAAAAUGGAGGCACCCAAAAUCAGAGGCCAUUCUAGCAAAUUGUGGGCUCAGUGCCUGCAUUGUGGAGUAUGGGGGAGAUGUUAACUAGACCACACAUUUGAAAUUGGGGGGAGUGGGGGUAGGGGGAAUGAAGUGCUCAAGAUAUAAAACUUCCUGGGAGCAGGCUGCUGCUCCCAGGCCAAACGAUCCCACCCAGAUGGCUGAGAGAUAAACGACACCAUCUUUUUACUGUAGUGCUUCAGUCAUAAUUUCUAAAAGACAUUUAUUAGACUCAGUCUCUUCCCUUUUCUCAGGGACUGAAACUCCUUGGGUGCAGGGAACUGCAACAAGCAAGGUAGAAAGAGGAACCCAAUGUUAAUAAUGAGACCAAUGCCCAAAACCCCAUCUAUUCCUCUCCUCCAAUUUUCUCCUGUGACAAUUUAUAGGUUAGUUUGAUGCUUGAAUAGCUGUGUCUCUCUAGUAAUAUGUAUUCUCUGUAAGUAUUCCCUGCUGUGGCAUAUCCUAAGAGAACUCCAUCAAAUAAUUAUCUUCCCUUUUAUUUAUUCACAGUCUUUUCACUCGAUCUGCAUCACUAUAAAAUAUUCCAAUGGUUUCCUCUUAGUACAGAGCCUUCCUGCGCUUGUAAAGUGUAUUUAUGUACAGUAUUAAAUCCACACUAUGUGACUCUUUAUCUUGGCACUUUCCUCAUUUGACGCCACUGCCAGGGCUGGCCCCAGCCACCUUCCAUCUCGGCGAUAAUACUUUGUAUAAUUAGCACAUGCACCGAAUCUGUUUCAGUUACACUAAGGUGGUGGCAUAAAUAAAAAUUAUAUACGAGUUUGCACUUUUCCCCCAGAUCCCAAAGUCCUUUGCAAACAUGCAUUAAAGAAGC